GGAGGCAUGGAUGGUUGAUUAUUUUUAAUUAGAAGGUUUGGAAAAUUCUUCCUAGGAGAAGAGGCACUGGAGAUGGGCCUUGGAGAAUGUGAGGAUUUUAGGAAUUGGACAGGGUGAAGUGAGUAUGAAGGAAAUUUCAAGAAAAGGAAGGUACUAGCAAGAUGUAGACUGGGCAAGGCCAAGGCAUAUUUGGUGAAUGGUAGGCCUUCAGGGAUGGCUGGUGGGUCGGGCCUUUGGGAGACUAUGGGGUCAGGCGGCAUGAAAUGAAAACAUACUGUGUCCAGGCUAGGAGGGUCUUGAGGGUGUGGAAUGAAUCCACCCGCUCACACCUUCCUCGUGUUCCAGGUGCUGUUCCAUGCACUGAGGAUUCCAAAGAGAAAUAAUCCACAACCAGACUUACAGAUAAGUUCGAGAAAUAAACCCUGUUUUGCAACCCAGAGCACAUUGUUCAGUAUGAGUUUCGAUACAUAUAAGAAUAAAUAUUAUGAUACCAAAAAAAAAAUAAAAUAAAAUAAAGAAAGAAAUAAUUCACAGCUAGGUGUGGUGGUUCAUGCCUGUAAUCCCAGCACUUUGGGAAGCCGAGGCGGGUGGAUCACUUGAGGUCAGGAGUUCAAGACCAGCCUGGCCAACAGGGUGAAAUCUCAUCUCUACCAAAAGUACAAAAAUUAGCCAGGCGUGGUGGCACACACCUGUAAUCCCAGCUACUUGGGAGGCUGAGUCAGAAGAAUCGCUUGAACCUGGGAGGCAGAGGUUGCAGUGAGCAGAGAUUGCACCACUGUACACCAGCCUAGGUGACAGAGCCAGACUCCAUCUCAAAAAAAAAAAAAAAAUCACAAUCCUGUCCUCAAAGAGCCUACAGUUUAUUGUGGCACAUAAAACACUAAAGAAUUGUAAGGAUGUGACAGGAUCAAUCCUAUCUAUGAUGGACAUAAGGUCAGAGGAGGUCGUAAGAUAUAAGGUCAACUACUCUGACCUGGGAAAGAGAGUUGGGGGAAGCUGUACAGAAAAAAAGACCACAUUUGGCUUGAGUCUUGAACUGCUAUCAAGCAGUUCAAUUGAGUUUUCCUUGAAUUUAAUCCAGAAGUUAGUCCAGUAGUUCUCAACUGAGGGUAAUUUUGCCCCCUGGAAACAUUUAUCAAUGUCAGGGGACAUUUUUGAUCAUCGUGACUUGGUGGUGAGGGUGGUGCUACUAGUGUCUCAUGGAUGGAGGCCAGGGAUGCUGCUGUACCUCCUAAAAUGCACAGGGCAGCCCGCACGGCAUGGAAGGAUCUGGCCCAAAAGUCAAUCGCGCUGAGAUUGAGAAACCUUGUGUUGAAGUACAUGUCAAACUCCACCACGUUGGGAACUGGGAGAUGGUCGAGUAGCC
rnacentral:lncRNA from 10 species